rnacentral:tRNA from 1 species
ACUUAAAUAGCUUAUAGACGAGAGCAUAGUAUUGAAGAUACUAAGGAAAUGUGACAUUUUUAAGUA